rnacentral:lncRNA from 1 species
GCCCGCCCCCGCCCGCCGUUGUGUGGGGUGGGCCUGCUGCCCCAGACCCACAGCCUUGCUGCAUUCCCGCCCUCACCAGAGCCCUCACCCGGCGACGUCACCGCCGCCGCUGCCUCCACUCUACCCUCCGGCCCCGCUUCACCGCCUGGGGCCUCGGUUCUGCCACCGCUGCUCCAAGACCGACAGGAUUUUCUCCUCACAGCUCCCUGGGCGCCAUCUUACAUUCAACCCUCACGGCCAAUGGGAGCCGAAUGCCUCUCUCGCGAGAGUCGAAGCGUCGGAUCCCGCGAGAGCUACCGCUCAGACUUAAAGGGAACGCUUCGGACUUAGAGGGAGACUGCUGGAGCUGAGAGCGUACCCCUCGUUGUGGGAAGGAGCACCACGCCCAUUGACACCCCUCCAUGCGGGGCGGAGCUUAGGCCUGGGGUUCAGUAUCUCGGGGGUAUUUUGCCCCUGUCCUAGGUUUACAAGCGUGCUUCUUGAACCCACCUACGGUGUCCCGCUAGCGCCUCCUCUACUUGCACAGUUCCACGCAAGGCGGGGCCGGGCCUAGCUCAGCCUCGUGGUUAAGGUGGCCCCCUCUCAAACC